CAGCCGCCGCGGUAAUACAGAGGGUGCGAGCGUUAAUCGGAUUUACUGGGCGUAAAGCGUGCGUAGGCGGCUUUUUAAGUCGGAUGUGAAAUCCCUGAGCUUAACUUAGGAAUUGCAUUCGAUACUGGGAAGCUAGAGUAUGGGAGAGGAUGGUAGAAUUCCAGGUGUAGUGGUGAAAUGCGUAGAGAUCUGGAGGAAUACCGAUGGCGAAGGCAGCCAUCUGGCCUAAUACUGACGCUGAGGUACGAAAGCAUGGGGAGCAAACAGGAUUAGAUACCCCAGUAGUCCCUGUCUCUUAUAC
rnacentral:rRNA from 1 species